rnacentral:rRNA from 1 species
UGCAAGUCGAACGGUAGAGGGGGCAACCCCUUGAGAGUGGCGAACGGGUGAGUAAUGUAUCGGAACGUGCCCAGUCGUGGGGGAUAACGUAGUGAAAAUUACGCUAAUACCGCAUACGAUCUAUGGAUGAAAGCGGGGGAUCGCAAGACCUCGCGCGAUUGGAGCGGCCGAUAUCAGAUUAGGUAGUUGGUGGGGUAAAGGCUCACCAAGCCAACGAUCUGUAGCUGGUCUGAGAGGACGACCAGCCACACUGGAACUGAGACACGGUCCAGACUCCUACGGGAGGCAGCAGUGGGGAAUUCUGGACAAUGGACGCAAGUCUGAUCCAGCCAUUCCGCGUGCAGGACGAAGGCCUUCGGGUUGUAAACUGCUUUUGUACGGAACGAAAAAGCUCUUAUUAAUACUAGGAGUCCAUGACGGUACCGUAAGAAUAAGCACCGGCUAACUACGUGCCAGCAGCCGCGGUAAUACGUAGGGUGCAAGCGUUAAUCGGAAUUACUGGGCGUAAAGCGUGCGCAGGCGGUUAUAUAAGACAGAUGUGAAAUCCCCGAGCUUAACUUGGGAACUGCAUUUGUGACUGUAUAGCUAGAGUACGGCAGAGGGGGAUGGAAUUCCGCGUGUAGCAGUGAAAUGCGUAGAUAUGCGGAGGAACACCGAUGGCGAAGGCAAUCCCCCGGGCCUGUACUGACGCUCAUGCACGAAAGCGUGGGGAGCAAACAGGAUUAGAUACCCUGGUAGUCCACGCCCUAAACGAUGUCAACUGGUUGUUGGGUCUUCACUGACUCAGUAACGAAGCUAACGCGUGAAGUUGACCGCCUGGGGAGUACGGCCG